UGGGGCGUGGCCAAGCGGUAAGGCAACAAUUUUUGAUCUUGUUAUUCGGAGGUUCGAAUCCUUCCAUCCCAG
rnacentral:tRNA from 1 species